rnacentral:rRNA from 1 species
GACGAACGCUGGCGGCGUGCUUAACACAUGCAAGUCGAACGAUGAAGCCGGAGCUUGCUCUGGUGAAUUAGUGGCGAACGGGUGAGUAACACGUGAGUAACCUGCCCUUGACUCUGGGAUAACUGCUAGAAAUGGUAGCUAAUACCGGAUACGACCCUCGGCGGCAUCGCCAGGGGGUGGAAAGAAUUUCGGUCAAGGAUGGACUCGCGGCCUAUCAGCUAGUUGGUGAGGUAACGGCUCACCAAGGCGACGACGGGUAGCCGGCCUGAGAGGGUGACCGGCCACACUGGGACUGAGACACGGCCCAGACUCCUACGGGAGGCAGCAGUGGGGAAUAUUGCACAAUGGGCGCAAGCCUGAUGCAGCAACGCCGCGUGAGGGAUGACGGCCUUCGGGUUGUAAACCUCUUUUAGUAGGGAAGAAGCGAAAGUGACGGUACCUGCAGAAAAAGCACCGGCUAACUACGUGCCAGCAGCCGCCGUAA